AUGAAAGUGCAAGUUCUGAGAAUGUUCACUUCAUUGAGGGUGGAAAGAAAGAUCCUUCUCUAAGACGGCGAGAAUUGCUGGUCGACAAUUGCCUUGCUGAGAAUCUAAUCGACNNNNNNNNNNNUGCAGCAGAGUUACUCAGAUCAAAUUUUGGCAAAGAAGUCUUGUAUGAGGUUGCAACUGGGGGUGCCAAUGGCAUUCUCCACCCAGUGUUGGAUGAGAAGUUGAAUUCUUUGCAUGAAGCUAUAGCAUCUCUUGCAGCAGAGCCUAAAUCUGAAGAAUCUGGAGAGGAGCAUGUCUUAGAAAAUUUCCACUCCAGUAGAACCAUUAGAAAAUUAAUUAUUGAUAACCCUACCUUUGCUACUACUUUAUGGAUGAAAGCUUUGAAAGGGAACUGUGGGUUGUGGGCCCAAGGUCACAGUUCUAAAGUAAUAUGUGCAUACUUGGAAUCUUCAUAUGCCAAAAUCAACAAACUAGCCAAUGAAGAGCUUCAGCCG
rnacentral:misc_RNA from 1 species